AGAGUUUGAUCCUGGCUCAGAACGAACGCUGGCGGCGUGCCUAACACAUGCAAGUCGAACGAGAAAGUUCCCUUCGGGGAAUGAGUAAAGUGGCGCAAGGGUGAGUAACACGUGAGUAAUCUGCCUUCGAAUCUGGGAUAACUUGACGAAAGUUAAGCUAAUACCGGAUAAGACCACGUUUCACAAGAAAUGCGGUCAAAGGGGUCUCAAACCCCGUUUGAAGAUGAGUUCGCGUACCAUUAGCCUGUUGGUGAGAUAACAGCUCACCAAGGCGACGAUGGUUAGCCGGCCUGAGAGGGUGAUCGGCCACACUGGAACUGAGACACGGUCCAGACUCCUACGGGAGGCAGCAGUGGGGAAUUUUGCGCAAUGGGCGAAAGCCUGACGCAGCAACGCCGCGUGAGCGAUGAAGGCCUUCGGGUCGUAAAGCUCUGUCAAGUGGGAAGAACACAAUGACGGUACCACUAGAGGAAGCCCCGGCUAACUUCGUGCCAGCAGCCGCGGUAAUACGAAGGGGGCAAGCGUUGUUCGGAAUUAUUGGGCGUAAAGCGUGUGUAGGUGGUCUUUCAAGUCAGACGUGUAAGCCCUCGGCUCAACCGAGGAAUUGCGUUUGAAACUGAUCGACUUGAGUGCAGGAGAGGAAAGCGGA
rnacentral:rRNA from 1 species